UGGGGAAUUUUGGGACAAUGGGGGAAACCCUGAUCCAGCCAUCCCGCGUGUGCGAUGAAGGCCUUCGGGUUGUAAAGCACUUUUGGCAGGAAAGAAACGUCGCGGGUUAAUACCCCGCGAAACUGACGGUACCUGCAGAAUAAGCACCGGCUAACUACGUGCCAGCAGCCGCGGUAAUACGUAGGGUGCAAGCGUUAAUCGGAAUUACUGGGCGUAAAGCGUGCGCAGGCGGUUCGGAAAGAAAGAUGUGAAAUCCCAGAGCUUAACUUUGGAACUGCAUUUUUAACUACCGGGCUAGAGUGUGUCAGAGGGAGGUGGAAUUCCGCGUGUAGCAGUGAAAUGCGUAGAUAUGCGGAGGAACACCGAUGGCGAAGGCAGCCUCCUGGGAUAACACUGACGCUCAUGCACGAAAGCGUGGGGAGCAAACAGGAUUAGAUACCCUGGUAGUCCACGCCCUAAACGAUGUCAACUAGCUGUUGGGGGCCUUCGGGCCUUGGUAGCGCAGCUAACGCGUGAAGUUGACCGCCUGGGGAGU
rnacentral:rRNA from 1 species